GGGAGCUUGGGCGCCGCGCUGGCAGCUGUAAACACCGCCGAGAUUUACCGCAGUUCGCGGCAGCGGCGCAAACGGCGGGGGCGGCGUAAGUUGAGUGCUUUAAAUGGCUCCAUUCCUAAUGCUCCAGGAAUUACAAGAGUUUUCCAGCCUGACCAGUAGUAACAGUAUUCUCCAUGCAAACAUCAAGAUGAUUCCCUCCAACCCUUUAGAGGAUUCCUUCCCUGGCCUUGGGAAGUUUCCUCACACAAAUGUGCUGCUCUGUGCUCUUGAGUCCUUGUGCGAGACCCUCUGCAGAUCUCUCCUCUCUGCUGUUCUCUUCUAAGAACUACAGCUGCUUUGCUCUCCCCAGAUUCUAAGCUCCAUCCUUGACUCAGGAAGUCUGCUGGGCUCCACCUCAGUUCUUCCUUCCUCUACUGGAAACUGGAAACCCUCUCAAGGCAAUAAACUGGGGCAAUCGGAAUGCUUGCCUCAUUGCUUUUCCAUCUCCCAAGGAAGACGGUCUUUUGUCAUCUGAUAUCCAUAUAAACCGAUUAUUUCGUGUA